rnacentral:rRNA from 1 species
UGGGGAAUAUUGGACAAUGGGCGCAAGCCUGAUCCAGCCAUGCCGCGUGUGUGAAGAAGGCCUUCGGGUUGUAAAGCACUUUCAGCGAGGAGGAAGGGUGGUGUGUUAAUAGCACAUCAUUUUGACGUUACUCGCAGAAGAAGCACCGGCUAACUCUGUGCCAGCAGCCGCGGUAAUACAGAGGGUGCAAGCGUUAAUCGGAAUUACUGGGCGUAAAGCGCACGUAGGCGGUUUUUUAAGUCAGAUGUGAAAGCCCCGGGCUCAACCUGGGAAUUGCAUUUGAAACUGGGAAACUAGAGUGUGUGAGAGGGGGGUAGAAUUCCAAGUGUAGCGGUGAAAUGCGUAGAGAUUUGGAGGAAUACCAGUGGCGAAGGCGGCCCCCUGGCACAACACUGACGCUCAGGUGCGAAAGCGUGGGGAGCAAACAGGAUUAGAUACCCUGGUAGUCCACGCCGUAAACGAUGUCUACUGGCUGUUCGUGACCUUGUGUUGUGAGUAGCGCAGCUAACGCACUAAGUAGACCGCCUGGGGAGUACGGUCGCAAGAUUAAAAGCUCAAAUGAAUUGACGGGGUAUAGCUGUUUCCU